AGUUUUGUUUUGUUUUUUUUAUUUGUGCGAAGGGAAGGUGUUUCGGUAUAAUUGGAGAGCUUUGAUCGACAGAAUCUUUCAAGAUUAUCAGAGAAAGGUUCUGAUGCAUGUAGAUGAAAUUGUGCAGAAUUGUCUGCUUGCGCUGCUGUGGCUGCAACAACUAAGGAGACAACUACUGUACCAACCCACCAUUCAUCUGAUUCAGAAACCAGAGACAGCUGUUAGCUAUUUCACUGCUAGAAUUUCAAUUACUGAAUACUGGUUCACCAUUAAAUAUUUUCUAGAGCCAGAACAAAAAUAAUGGUUGACAUGUGUGUAAAUAUUGCAGUCAGUCUCUGUAGGUUUUUAUGCCAUUUUAGUGUAAUGUAAUAUCUGAC